UCAGAGGCUGAGGCAGGAGAAUCACUUGAACCUGGAGGCAGAGGUUGCGGUGAGCAGAGGUUGUACCUCUGCACUCCAGCUUGGACAAUAGAGCGACUCUUUCUCUCAAAAUAAAAUAGGAUAAGAAUUAAUUAGCCUUUUUGAUCUGAUCGCUGCCAAUUUUUUUCUCAGGAUCUUUCUAUUAAAGUAGCUCUGUACCUACUAUGUUGAGGCUCCUUUUUCAUUUUUUUUCUUUUUUUUGAGACAGAGUCUCAGACUAGAGUACAGUGGUGUGAUCAUGGUUUACUGUCACCUCUGCCUCCUGGGUUCAAGUGAUGUUCCCGCCUCAAUCUGCCAAGAUGCUAGGACUACAGGCACAUGCCACCAUGCCUGGCUAAUUUUUUUGUGUUUUUCAUAGAGACGGGGUUUCGCCAUGGUGUCCAGGCUGGUCUUGAACUCCUGAGCUCAAGCAAUCCGCCACACUGGCCUCCCAAAUGUUGGGAUUACACCACACCCAGCCCCCUGUUUUUUUAAAUUUAUAUAUUUAAGAGUACAUUGGGGGUUGGAAAUAGUUUAGGUCAGCAGGGAUUAGCCAUUCCCUAAAUGUAAACUUCUUCACUGGUGCUGCACUUAGAGUUCCUAAGAUCCUUUCCAAAUUGAUGAAUCUGGAAGUUGAAGUUAUAUUUGUAUUCACACCACAAAAAAUUUCUGUCUGUGCCCUGUCUUCUUGGGUUUAUUUUAAACCAGAAAUUAAGACAUUGAUUUUCCUUUGUUAGAGUGAUUUCAGUAUUUUGAGUUAUUAAGACAGAAAAUGUGAGCCCAUGUUGGAAUUCUGGGUCAGCAGGUUAUUUACCUCUGUUCCGCAAUUGCUAUGGAAGUUAAAGUCUACUUGUUAUGUGACAUAGAAUUAAUGAGUAUUCUUUUUUGCUUUUACUCUUCUGAGCCCAAGAGCUUUCUUUUCAUAAUUUAUGUUGGAGGUGUUCUGGACUAUGUUAUUACUGCAGAAAGUUAGACUCCCAUUUCUUUUGAUAUCAAAUAUUCAGCCUCUUCCUCUCUGUCUUACGAAUACAUAUAAUAUGCCUUAGAUGCCAACUCAAUACAUUCUUACAUUCAGGGCUGUCCUUAAGGAAAUACCAUAGUGGCUUCCCUUGUGUAAGAAAACUGAGUGGAGGGGGUCAGCUGGAGCUUCCAUGCCUAUGUUGGGCUAGAAGCACCUCCCAUUCAUUUCCAGCCCUUUGCCACUCUGCAUAAUUAGUGUCCUUCGUUUAUUCAGAAGAAGCUAGAUCCCAGAUUAAGUGAGCACAUAGGCAUGCAUGUCAGAGAAAGUGUCGUGGGCUCUUAUGGAUAAAAUUUGAAAUGCAACCUAUUUUCAAUAGAAAAAAGCCUCUUACUCUCACAUAUCCCAGAAAAAUUUAGAUCUUAAAAUGCUUUUGAGACUUAAGAUGCUCACGUCUGUGGAGUAAAAAUGCUACCUGAUAUUUGUGGUGUAUGAAUUACCGAGAAACAAAAUUACUCAGCUAAUCAGGUGUCUCAUGCAUAAUAAACCAACCUAACAAAGGAAAGCUGCCUUUCAGAGGCAAGAAUAUAGAACAUAUGUAGUUUAUUAAGCUAUU